rfam:Lactobacillus composti DSM 18527 = JCM 14202 strain DSM 18527 NODE_6, whole genome shotgun sequence.
GCCGGCGUGGCGGAACUGGCAGACGCGCAGCGUUCAGGUCGCUGUGGGAUUUUAUCCCGUACAGGUUCGAUUCCUGCCGCCGGCA